rnacentral:rRNA from 1 species
AUUCCAGCUCCAGUAGCGUAUAUUAUUACUGUUGUAGUUAAAAAGCUCGUAGUUGAAUAUCUGGCGUUGGGAAGCCCUGCCCGCCGCGAUUCGCGUGUGAGUUGUGGGGCGUCCCCGCCAUCCUGUGUGGGAGCCCGCCUACCCUUCAUUGGGCCGGGCGGUGCGAGCACACUCAGUUACUUUGAGAAAAUCUGCGCGUUCAAAGCAGGCACACGCUAUGAAAGCUUCAGCAUGGAAUAACAAGAUAGGACCUGGGUCUCUAUUUUGUUGGUUCUGGGACCUAAGUAAUGAUUGAUAGGGACAGUUGGGGGUGCUGCUAUAGACUGGCCAGAGGUGAAAUUCUAAGACUCAGUCUAGAGCAACUUAUGCGAAAGCAUUCACCAAGGAUGUCUUCAUUA